AAAUUCAUUUCUACCAAAAAUGUUUCACUAGUAGUAUAAAAUAUAAUAUCCUAGAAAAAAAUAUCACUACUGUUCUUGGACUUGACACUGUAAGCAGAAAGCUCUUAACACUUUGACAGUUUCUUUCAAACUAAAUAAUAAAUGGAAAAUUUCAGUUGAUAUACACAAACAUUUCAUUGAACUUGUAGGGAUGAUAAUAUUUUAAGCUCAAGAAAGAUAAAAAUUUUUGAAUACAAGUAGCCAGAUUUUCAGUUUUU